CAGAGAAUAGUUUAACAUAAAAGAAUUAUAACUUUGGGAGUUAUAGGUGCAAAUGUAGAGUUUUGUCUCUCUGA
rnacentral:tRNA from 1 species